rnacentral:rRNA from 1 species
AGUGAACGCUGGCGGUAGGCCUAACACCUGCAAGUCGACCGGCCGCACCGUAAGCGUUUGCUCUUCCGGGUGGCGAGUGGCGGCCCGGUGAGCCACACAUCGGAAUCUACUUUUUCGCGGGUGAUCACGUAGCGAAACUUACGCUCAUACCGCAUCCGACCUACGGGUGACAGCAUUCGCUCUUCGGACCUUCCCCGAUUGACUGCGCCGAUGCCGGAUUAGCUAGUUGGCGGGGUAACGGACCACCAAGGCGACGAUCCGUAACGUGUCUGAGAGGAUGAUCAGCCACACUAGAACUGAGGAACGGUCCAGACUCCGACGGGAAGCAGCAGUGGGGAAUAUUAGACAACGGGCGCAAGCCUGAUCCAGCCAUACCGCGUGGGGGAAGAAGGCCUUCGGGUUGUAAAGGCCUUUUGUUGGGAAAGAAAAGCAGCGGGUUAAUACCCCGCUGUUCUGACGGUACCCAAAGAAUGAGCAACGGCUAACUUCGUG